rnacentral:rRNA from 1 species
GUACCCGCUGAACUUAAGCAUAUCAAUAAGCGGAGGAAAAGAAACUAACAAGGAUUCCCCUAGUAACGGCGAGUGAAGCGGGAAUAGCUCAAAUUUGAAAUCCCAGAGGCUAUACCUUUGUGAAUUGUAGUUUAAAGAAACGUUUUCGGGAGCGGCUUGGGCAUAAGUCCUUUGGAAAGAGGCACCUAAGAGGGUGACAGUCCCGUGCAUGGCCCAAUGUCCGCGCCUAUGUGAUACGUUCUCAAAGAGUCAGGUAGUUUGGGAUUGCUGCCUAAAAUGGGCGGUAAAUAUCAUCUAAAGCUAAAUAUUGGCGAGAGACCGAUAGCGAACAAGUACCGUGAGGGAAAGAUGAAAAGAACUUUGAAAAGAGAGUUAAACAGUACGUGAAAUUGCCAAAAGGGAAACGCUUGGAACCAGUAUUGUUUGCAUGUAAUCAAGCACACGUUCCGCAAGGGUCGCGUGUGCUGCACUUGCAUGUCGACAGGCCAACAUCAGUUUGGUUUGAGGUACAAAGCCAGAGAAAGGUAGCUCAUCUCGAGUGUUAUAGUCUCUGGUCAUGCCUUGGAUUGGACUGAGGACUGCAGCGUUUUUUGGGUCCCCAGGUAGCUUCUUGAAACCAUUCUUUAGACAGCAUGCUGACUUUGGAAGGGCGUAGGGAACUUGCUUGGAUGAUCACACCAGCGCUUAGGAUGUUGGCGAAAUGGUUCCAAACGACCCGUCUUGAAACACGGACCAAGGAGUCUAACAUAUAUGCGAGUAUUUGGGUGGCAAACCCUUAUGCGGAAUGAAAGUAAAUUUGGUGCGAUCUCUUAUGCGCAGCAUCGACCGGUCUGGAUUCUUUUGAUAGAUCUGAGUAAGAGCAUAUCUGUUGGGACCCGAAAGAUGGUGAACUAUGCCUGAAUAGGGUGAAGCCAGAGGAAACUCUGGUGGAGGCUCGUAGCGAUUCUGACGUGCAAAUCGAUCGUCAAAUUUGGGUAUAGGGGCGAAAGACUAAUCGAACCAUCUAGUAGCUGGUUCCCUCCGAAGUUUCCCUCAGGAU